rnacentral:snRNA from 1 species
GCUUGCUUUGCCAGUGCAUACAAUAAAUGCAACAAUACAGAGAAGAAUAGCAUGGCUCCUUGGCAAGGAUGACUUGCAAAUUCAUGAAGCAUUCCAUCAUUUU